rnacentral:rRNA from 1 species
ACGUGAGCUGGGUUCAGAACGUCGUGAGACAGUUUGGUCCCUAUCUACCGUGCGUGUUGGAAACUUGAGAGGAUUUGUCCUUAGUACGAGAGGACCGGGAUGAACGCACCUCUGGUGCACCAGUCGUCAUGCCAAUGGCGCAGCUGGGUAGCUAAGUGCGGACGGGAUAAACGCUGAAAGCAUCUAAGCGUGAAACCCCCCUCAAAACUAGGUUUCCCUAGAGAGCCGUAGAAGACUACUACGUUGAUAGGCCAGGUGUGGAAGAGCCGCGAGGCUUGAAGCUGACUGGUACUAAUCGCUCAAUCGGCUUGAACGA